GAGUUUGAUCCGGCUCAGAUUGAACGCGGCGGCAUGUAACACUGCAAGUCGAACGUGAAACCCGCCGCAGGUGGGAGAGUAAAGUGGCGGACGGGUGAGUAAUACGUAGGAAUCUACCUUAAGUGGGGGGUAAUCCGCGAAAGCGGAGCUAAUACCGCAUAAACUUAGUGUUUAUAGCAUUAAGAAAAGGGGGCUAGCAAUAGCUUUCGCUUUUGGAAGAGCUACGUCGGAUAGCUAGUUGGUAGGGUAAAAGCCUACCAAGGCAACGAUCCGUAGCUGGUUUGAGAGAACGACCAGCCACACUGGGACUGAGAUACGGCCCAGACUCCUACGGGAGGCAGCAGUGGGGAAUAUUGGACAAUGGGCGAAAGCCUGAUCCAGCAAUGCCGCGUGUGUGAUGAAGGCCUGCGGGUUGUAAAGCACUUUCGUUGGGGAAGAAAUGCCUGAAGCUAAUAUCUUCAGGAGUUGACGUUACCCAAAGAAGAAGCACCGGCUAACUCUGUGCCAGCAGCCGCGGUAAUACAGAGGGUGCAAGCGUUAAUCGGAGUUACUGGGCGUAAAGGGCGCGUAGGUGGAUGUCUAAGUCGGAUGUGAAAUCCCCGGGCUUAACCUGGGAAUUGCAUUCGAUACUGGAUAUCUAGAGUAUGGUAGAGGAAAG
rnacentral:rRNA from 1 species